rnacentral:rRNA from 1 species
GACGAACGUUGGCGGCGUGCUUAAUACAUGCAAGUCAACUGAAGCAGUGGUAGCAAUAUCGCUGUGGAGGUGGCGCACGGGUGAGUAACACGUAGGUAAUCUGCCUUCAGGUCUGGCAUAACUCCGGGAAACCGGGGCUAAUAGCAGAUGAUGCAGCGGCUCGACAUCGAGACAGUUGUUAAAGCUAUGGCGCCUGAAGAUGAGCCUGCGUCUGAUUAGCUAGUUGGCGGGGUAACGGCCCACCAAGGCAACGAUCAGUAGCUGGUCUGAGAGGAUGAUCAGCCACACUGGAACUGAGACACGGUCCAGACUCCUACGGGAGGCAGCAGUAAGGAAUAUUGCUCAAUGGGAGAAAUCCUGAAGCAGCAACGCCGCGUGAGGAACGAAGGGCUUUGGCUUGUAAACCUCUGUAGUGAGAGAAAAAAAUCCCAAUCUUUGGGACAUGAUGGUAUCUCAAAAGUAAGCCCCGGCUAACUACGUG